rnacentral:lncRNA from 1 species
GGAGCUACGGAAAAAAUGAUGUCUAACCUUCUAACCGGUGUGCUGGAAGAUGGCGUGUCUGCCAAUGGUGUGCCCCGGUCUACAGCCCCAGGUGGAACAUCCAACCCAGAGAAGAAGAUGAGCUGUGGGACCCAGUGCCCGAAUCCCCAGAGCCUCAGCUCAGGCCCCCUGACCCAGAAACAGAAUGGCCUCCGGACUACAGAGGCUAAAAGGGACGCUAAGCGGACAUCUGCAAAAGAAGUCACCAUUAAUGUCACAGAAAGCAUCCGACAGGUGGACAGAAAUCAAAGAAUCACAAAGAAAUGCAUCAACUAGGAGAGCUGAGGGCCAGAUGGACUUCUUUGGUGCCCUUCGCAUCCUGGAUCCUAUCGAGGAACUUUGAAGAAGCGGGUGGCCCUUGCUGCAUGGGAACACUGCGGAAUGCCUGUGAGACCCUGUCUUACCCGGCAGCACCGCUGCCUGAGCAUUGGCAGCCUCCUGUUUAUCGUGUAAACAUAUCGGCAGAGCACUCCCAUAGGGUAUUAAACUGCAAAUGUGCGUUCAGUUUGCCUCUUGCGCUCGGACAGUCUGGUCUGAUGGAAACGUGGUGAGCUAAAACCACCUGCUGCCGUAGUGUGUGCUGGGUCGGGCAAGCUUAUUCUUUCUUUCUUUUUAAAAUACCAUCAACACAAAGUGUACUGUGUUCAGUUACAAGUUGGCUUCCACCCAGUUCUAAACCCUCAUGUAUGAGAAAUCAAGAAAACAGGAAAACGUUGUUAUUCUUGUUUCCUUAGCCCAGUCUGAGAUGGAUUCAGGUCCAAUUUUAUACACACUGACCCCACUGACACCCAUGGCGUGUGCUGGGGCCUCUCUGGGAUACAGCCACACCCACGUCUCUCUCCUCCACCUUCACCCUCCUGGCCCAGGCCAGGGUCCAUGUCAGCCUCUGAAUCAUAGCAUCACAGUCACGGGCAAUGCAUCCAACCUCGGACGCCCUUGCGGCUCUGCAGACAUUGUGUUUCUCCAGCUUUCCACUUCCUUUCCUUGUGCUGAGCGUUUUUUCUCUCCAUUCAGGCCAUUUGCAAUUGUUAAUCAAAGACCGGCCACUGCUCACAAGAGGGAGAAAAUCUGAAACGUGUCGGCUUUCUUUUAGCCUCUCCUUGCACACCCAGGACUGUGUCAUUUGGUGUCUGCAAAGGAAUCGAUUUAAGAAGCCGGUACCUGGUGGGUGUGUGUUCACGGGAACAUCAGAUCGCCAUGCAGUGUGUUAAAAAUCAGGCAGCUGAGACGGGAAAAAAUAAGUAAAUAAAUAACCAAUUUUGAUAGGAUUUUCUAGCAUUUCUUUAAACAUGUAAAGGUAGAAGUAUUUUCCUCCAAAGUAAUGUAGCAUGAUUUUUAGAGGACUCUUAACGUGCCUGGGAUUGGGAGAGGGAGGACUAAAGUUGUACCCAAUCAUACUAAUAAACUCCACAUUUAGC